rnacentral:lncRNA from 1 species
UAUCAGAACCAACUAAACCCUAGCCUCCAACACUGCCUUCACAAUAGCCUAAACCCUAACCCACUAGCCACCAGCCAUAGGCCAACAACAGUCCUGCCUCUAUGCAUUCCCUGUGCAACCCAGUCCAACCAACAAUCACCAGACUCAACACUUGUAACAUCCUCUUCCCUUGUGCAGCCACCACUGCAGUCACCAGCAGCCCAACCCAACCCUCACACACAGAGCCCUUGCACAACAAGUCAUCUCGUGCAUAACCAUGCUUUGUACAGUCCAUCCUUGCGCCGUCUAGCACCGUUCAGGCCUUGCACAGGCAAGCUCUUGCACAGUCGCGCAGUCUAGCUUCGUUCAAGCCUCACACAGGCCAACGCAUACACCAUCAAGCAGUCCUGUAGGCCAGCCCAUGUGCCAUCCAGUAGCAUCAUAGUCCAGCAUAGCCGCAUAUUCCAGCAACCCCUACAUCGUCUAGUAGUCCUAUAGGCCAUCCCCUGCACUGUCUAGUACAUUUAGCAGCCGCGCAAUCUAGCACAGCCACACAGUCUAGCAACCAGUAGCCCCAUAAUCCAACAACCAGUAGUCAGUAGUCUAGCGCAGCCAUCAGUUGCACAGUGCAAUUCAGCCUCCAGUCAUUGCGUAGUCUAGUGUAGCCAGCAGUAGCUGCUCGUGCAGUCCAUAUAUCGUGAAGUCUAUAUGUCUGAUAGUAUGACACUUUAAAAAAAAUAUAUUCUCCUUUGAUUUCCUAAGAUUGAUUCUUGGUGUUACGUUGAUAGUUAACCCAGUCAAGGAGGUUGCCCCAGCCCAUAUGGUUUUGUGCCCAACUCCUAUCUACCUAUCUUUUAGUCCCACGGACGCUAUAGUUGCAGGUACUCUUAUCGCUUUUCAUGAUAAGUCAAGUCACCCCACUUGAAUUCUGAAUUUUGGAGCUAAUAAUAACAUGACUGGUGAGCUUUCUACUUUUACCUCUUCUAUUAGUUUCAUAAAUCAAUCUGUUUGUAUUGCUGAUGGACCAUCUAUUCCCAUUUAUAGUCAGGGUGAUGCCCACUUUUCCACAGAUAUUACUCUUUCCUCAAUUUAUUAUGCUCUGAAUUUUGCCUAUAAUUUUCUUUCUGUUAGUUGUCUUGCAAAAAACCUUAAUUGUGCCGUUGUAGUCUUACCAUCUCGUUGUUUCUUGCAGGACUUGAUUUCGAAGAAGAUUCUUGGCAGGGGAUAUGAGAGUGAUGAACUGUACUACUUUGGGGAUCCGCCAACAUCUAUUGCUUUGUCCUUCAAUCUUCAAGCCUCUACUCUACCAGUCUUAGAGCCCUCCAUUUUAAGUUAGUCUAUAUUAAAUUCGUUUGUUUGUUCUAUUAAAACUUUAAAUUAGUGGCAUGCUCAUUUAGGGUAUGCAAUUUUUUUGUAUUUAUGUUGCCUUUUCUCCCAUCUUAAAAAGGCAUGCCAGAAAGUUACUUUUAAAUGUUUCAUUUGUGAAUUGUCUAAACAUACUCGCACCUCUUAUAUUUCACGCAUGCAUUGUGCACCGAGUGCUUUUGACCUUAUUCACUCAGAUGUAUAGGGCCCGUCUCCAGUUACUUCUUUCUCUUAACACCAUUAUUAUAUCACCUUUAUGGAUGACUACACUAGGUGUACUUAGGUCUACUUGAUGCGCAAUAAAUCCGAGGCCUUUUUCCACUUUACUUAUUUUCUACAAAUGAUCAAAGGGGUAUUGGUGUUAUGAUCCUGUCACUUUUGAAAACUGUUCCAUUCUUCUCAGGUUCUCCAUUUUCUCUGGGCCAUGCUUCAAAGCUGAUUGUGGAAGAGGGCUCUACACCUCCACGUCCGCUUCCUAUACUUGAGUCUCCUCCAAUAUCGCCCAGUGACUCUUUACCCUCGAGUGUUACUACCGACCCCUCAUAGGACUACCCUUAUUAUUCACACGCUCCAGCUCCCCUGCCAACAUCUUCUACGAAUUCAAGUAUCUCUUCUCCUUUAGUUUCUAAUAUACCUCAUCUCCGUUAUCCCACACGUGUUCGUUGUCCCCCUCCCCCCAUUUUCUUCUUUCAAAUAGUACUAAUCACUCUAUUGCACAAUAUCUAUCUUACCAAGGUCUUUAAGACUCCUAUCAGUCUUUUUUGAGUCAAGUGGACUCGGUCUCGAUUCCUCGCUUUGUCCAUGAAGCUCUUUAGAAUCUCUGAGGGUUUCUGCAAUGAAAGCCGAAAUGGAUGCUAUUCAGCACAAUCGAACUUGGGAUCUUAUUGCUUUGCCGAAAGGAGAUCGCACUGUUGGGUUAUAAAUGGGUGUUCAGUGUGAAGUAUUUGGCAGAUGGUUUGGUUGAUCGAUAUAAAUGGUUUUGUUGCUAAAGGCUUUACUCAGAUUGCAUGUAAAGAUUUGGGUGCCACUUUUGCCCUAGUUGCCAAAUUAAACACUAUUUGCCUUCUGAUUUUUCUUGUUGCUUCUUAUUCGUGGCUUCUUCACCAAUUGGAUGUCAAAAAGGCUUUCCUUAAUGGUGAUCUUUCUGAGAUUAUAU